rnacentral:RNase_P_RNA from 1 species
ACCGCAGGCCACCUUAUCGCUGCAAACCUUAAAGUUUGUAGAGGAAAGUCCGGACACCACAGUGCAGCAUAGCGGCUAACGGCCGUCGGCCGAAAGGCCAGGACAAGUGCAAAAGAAAGGAUGUACAGGUAAUGCUGUAGUGAAAUCGGGUAAACUCUAUGCGGUGCAACGCCAUGUAUACCAAUGCCCCGAUAGCUAUCGGGAGAAGGCUGCACGCCUGAUGUUGGAGGGUAGGCGGCUAGAACGUUGCAGCAAUGCAGCGUCCAGAUAAAUGAUAAGGAUCUUUUUCAAGGUACAGAAUCCGGCUUAUGGCCUGCUUUUUUC